rnacentral:rRNA from 1 species
AUUGAACGCUGGCGGCAGGCUUAACACAUGCAAGUCGAGCGAGCGGCGGACGGGUGAGUAAUGUCUGGGAAACUGCCUGAUGGGGGGGGAUAACUACUGGAAACGGUAGCUAAAACCGCAUACCAUAAGAUGUGCCAAGAUGGGAUUAGCUAGUGGGGGGGGAAAUGGCUCACAUAGGCGACGAUCCCUAGCUGGUCUGAGAGGAUGACCGGCCCCACUGGAACUGAGACCCGGCCCAGACUCUCACGGGAGGCAGCAGUGGGUAAUAUUGCACAAGGGGCGCAAGCCUGCUGCAGCCAUGCCGCGUGUGUGAAGAAGGCCUUCGGGUUGUAAAGCACUUUCAGCGGGGAGGCGUUACUCGCAGAGGAAGCACCGGCUAACUACGUGCCAGCAGCCGCGGUAAUAC